AUUGAACGCUGGCGGCAGGCCUAACACAUGCAAGUCGAACGGUAACAGGAAGAAGCUUGCUUCUUUGCUGACGAGUGGCGGACGGGUGAGUAAUGUCUGGGAAACUGCCUGAUGGAGGGGGAUAACUACUGGAAACGGUAGCUAAUACCGCGUAACGUCGCAAGACCAAAGAGGGGGACCUUCGGGCCUCUUGCCAUCGGAUGUGCCCAGAUGGGAUUAGCUAGUUGGUGGGGUAACGGCUCACCAAGGCGACGAUCCCUAGCUGGUCUGAGAGGAUGACCAGCCACACUGGAACUGAGACACGGUCCAGACUCCUACGGGAGGCAGCAGUGGGGAAUAUUGCACAAUGGGCGCAAGCCUGAUGCAGCCAUGCCGCGUGUAUGAAGAAGGCCUUCGGGUUGUAAAGUACUUUUAGCGGGGAGGAAGGGAGUAAAGUUAAUACCUUUGCUCAUUGACGUUACCCGCAGAAGAAGCACCGGCUAACUCCGUGCCAGCCGCCGCAGUAA
rnacentral:rRNA from 1 species